CAGCAGCCGCGGUAAUACGAAGGGUGCAAGCGUUAAUCGGAAUUACUGGGCGUAAAGCGUGCGCAGGCGGUUUGUUAAGACAGAUGUGAAAUCCCCGGGCUCAACCUGGGAACUGCAUUUGUGACUGGCAAGCUAGAGUGUGGCAGAGGGGGGUGGAAUUCCGCGUGUAGCAGUGAAAUGCGUAGAUAUGCGGAGGAACACCGAUGGCGAAGGCAGCCCCCUGGGCCAACACUGACGCUCAUGCACGAAAGCGUGGGGAGUAAACAGGAUUAGAUACCCCAGUAGUCCCUGUCUCUUAUAA
rnacentral:rRNA from 1 species